rnacentral:rRNA from 1 species
AUUGAACGCUGGCGGCAGGCCUAACACAUGCAAGUCGAGCGGAGCGGCGGACGGGGGAGUAAUGCCUAGGAAUCUGCCUGGGAGUGGGGGAUAAAGUCCGGAAACGGGCGCUAAUACCGCAUACGUACAAAUGAGCCUAGGUAGGAUUGGCUAGUUGGUGGGGGAAAGGCCUACCAAGGCGACGAUCCGUAACUGGUCUGAGAGGAUGAUCAGUCACACUGGAACUGAGACACGGUCCAUACUCCUACGGGAGGCAGCAGUGGGGAAUAUUGGACAAUGGGCGAAAGCCUGAUCCAGCCAUGCCGCGUGUGUGAAGAAGGUCUUAGGAUUGUAAAGCACUUUAAGUUGGGAGGCGUUACCAACAGAAUAAGCACCGGCUAACUUCGUGCCAGCAGCCGCGGUAAUUC